UACGAAGGGGAGCUAGCGUUGCUCGGAAUUACUGGGCGUAAAGCGCACGUAGGCGGCUUUCUAAGUCGGGGGUGAAAUCCUGGAGCUCAACUCCAGAACUGCCUCGAUACUGGAGAGCUUGAGUCCGGGAGAGGUGAGUGGAACUGCGAGUGUAGAGGUGAAAUUCGUAGAUAUUCGCAAGAACACCAGUGGCGAAAGGCGGCUCACUGGCCCGGUACUGACGCUGAGGUGACGAAGCGUGGGGAGCAAACAGG
rnacentral:rRNA from 1 species